rnacentral:rRNA from 1 species
CCGCCAGAGAACUACAAGUGAAAAACUUGAAACUCAAAGGACUUGACGGUGUCCCAUAUCGACCUAGAGGAGCCUGUCCUAUAAUCGAUAACCCCCGUUCCACCCCACCCUAACUAGCAUACCAGCUUAUAUACCGCCGUCGACAGCCUACCCCUUGAGGGUUAAACAGUAGACACAAUUGCUCAACCGUUAAUACGUCAGGUCAAGGUGUAGCACAUGUUAGGGAAGCGAUUGGCUACAUUUUUUAUUUUAAAAGAUACGAAAGGCAUUAUGAAACAAUGCAUGAAGGUGAAUUUAGUAGUAAAGC